rnacentral:rRNA from 1 species
UACGUAGGGUGCAAGCGUUGUCCGGAAUUAUUGGGCGUAAAGAGCUCGUAGGCGGUUUGUCGCGUCUGCUGUGAAAACUCGGGGCUUAACUCCGGGCCUGCGGUCGAUACGGGCAGGCUAGAGUUCGGUAGGGGGAGACUGGAAUUCCUGGUGUAGCGGUGGAAAUGCGCAGAUAUCAGGAGGAACACCGGUGGCGAAGGCGGGUCUCUGGGCCGAUACUGACGUGAGAAGCGAAAAGCAUGGGGGAGCGAACAGG